rnacentral:lncRNA from 1 species
GCCCAUUUGAGCUGGAAAUUGUAAAAGAACAGCUCUGCAGAUGGAUCUUUAAAUUCUUAACCUAAAAGAAGAGCAAAAAUGUAAAUGAUAAAUCUGGGAAGUAAUAAGUAGAAGACCAUGUAUAGCAGAGUUGAGGAAAGAAACAAUAUAGUAUAAAUACUGAAUUACAUGAAAGCUAAUAGUUAAUUGGCAUCAGUUGACCCUGAC